UAGUUUGCACACAAGAUUGGCUUCGGAAAUCUAGUGAUGCCAUCAAUCUUGAAGAUUAUGUUGAUGAACUUCAAAUCAUGGAAGACGAUUUAUUCAAAAUACCCGAAGAUCAAGAAGAUGUUUCAAGAUUAUCAACAGUGAUUGAAGCACAAGAAAGAAGUUAAACCAUUCUAUAAUGGUUUUUGAACUGAUGUUAGUUUGGUUUGGUUUGUUAUUGUUGUUGGAUAAUUGAGCUUUUGUUGUGUUCUUUUUUUUUGGACUGGUGUAGGUUUUUAUUGUAUUUUAGACUUUUAAUUAUGUUUUUUUAUUACAAUGUUGUUGUAUUGUUUUUGUUUUUUAUUUGGACUCAUGAAGAAACUUAAACUAUUCUAUAAUGGUUUUUGAA